GACGUAGGGCGCGAGCGUUGUCCGGAUUUAUUGGGCGUAAAGAGCUCGUAGGCGGCUUGUCGCGUCGACUGUGAAAACCCACGGCUUAACUGUGGGCUUGCAGUCGAUACGGGCAGGCUAGAGUUCGGUAGGGGAGACUGGAAUUCCUGGUGUAGCGGUGAAAUGCGCAGAUAUCAGGAGGAACGCCGGUGGCGAAGGCGGGUCUCUGGGCCGAUACUGACGCUGAGGAGCGAAAGCGUGGGGAGCGAACAGG
rnacentral:rRNA from 1 species